rnacentral:piRNA from 1 species
UAGAAAAUUCAAGAAUGUUAU